GGAUAUAGCUCAGUUGGUACAGUGCUUGUCUUGCAUACAUAAGGCCCUGGGUUCGAUCCCCAGCUCCA
rnacentral:tRNA from 1 species